GAAAAACUGAACCAAGUAAGCUGGCAUACGAGCUCCUGCUGUGCCUCGUGCUCCGGAUCAGUCCAUCAACUUCCUGUUUCUGUCUGGAAGCAGCUGAAGAAGCAAAACGUCUCCAUGGAUAAGAGUGAGACGGAGGCAUUUGUGGCUGUGCGCAAGCUAACCCUGCUGGAGACGCUGUUCUGCUUCAAGAAAUCAACCGGAAAAGACAGACGGAUUAGACUGAAUGUCUCCAUACAAACAGAUUUCAUCAAAACCGUGAUGUCUGCUUCUACCAGCAUCUCAGUUCUGCCCUAUAGAGGAAGCACACUGAAGCCUAAAUAGCAGCUCAUCAACAUGGCUGCAUCUGCAAAGAGGCUUUCCAAAUCUCUCGCCGCACCACAGAUGUGAAAACCCGCCGCAUUUGCU